UUCCGAACCGGCAUGUGUGGAAAAUGAGCGCAUUUAAUAGUGGAAUAUGCGACAGCAAUAUUGUAUUGUUUUCCAGAAAAAUGUCACGUCAUAAACGUUAUCCAGUGUAAUGUUGGACAAUGAAUUUGCUUGGCAUCCCUUCAAAAAAAAUACUAUCCGUCGGCGUAAUGAGCAGCAGCAGCUGAUGUCAAUUAGCAUUUGCUAAUCAAAACAAGGGAACCGACUUCCAAUUUGGCUGGAAAUACAGCACCUCUGACAAUUAAAGGACCCCACUGCUGACACCAGUCUUGACAGCGGAACAAACUCAGCAGAUGAAGAUCGGGGUUAUGCAUCGUGGAGAGAGAGAGAGAAGGGAGGGGUCACGACAGGGUUACUGGAUAUGACAGGUGGUAGAGG